rnacentral:rRNA from 1 species
CCUACGGGGGGCAGCAGUGGGGAAUAUUGGACAAUGGGCGAAAGCCUGAUCCAGCCAUGCCGCGUGUGUGAAGAAGGCCUUCGGGUUGUAAAGCACUUUCAGUGGGGAAGAAAGCCUUGGGGCUAAUACCCUCGAGGAAGGACAUCACCCACAGAAGAAGCACCGGCUAACUCCGUGCCAGCAGCCGCGGUAAUACGGAGGGUGCGAGCGUUAAUCGGAAUUACUGGGCGUAAAGCGCGCGUAGGCGGUCUGAUAAGCCGGUUGUGAAAGCCCCGGGCUCAACCUGGGAACGGCAUCCGGAACUGUCAGGCUAGAGUGCAGGAGAGGAAGGUAGAAUUCCCGGUGUAGCGGUGAAAUGCGUAGAGAUCGGGAGGAAUACCAGUGGCGAAGGCGGCCUUCUGGACUGACACUGACGCUGAGGUGCGAAAGCGUGGGUAGCAAACAGGAUUAGAUACCCCAGUAGU